GGUGACAUUAUCAGAAAUCACCGCACUGCCCUUAUUCUGCUCCCACCAAAAUCAAUUGGUUUUUCAUUUGGUUGGAAACAACCAAGGAAAAUUCUGGGUGCUCCUGAAAAAUCACAUCUGCAACAUCUCCGGGGGUUUCCAAGAAUUUAUCCGUGCAUCAGAGACUUGGUUUGGUUUGAAACCUUCAAGCAAAGUGAAAUCCUUCUAGUGGAAGGUUCCCUGCCCGUGGUGGAGGAACAAUGAAAAUGGGAACAGUGACUGGAUGUGGAAAAACAACCUCCUUUAGGAGCCGUGGAAUGCAGAUCCAUGACUGCUUAGGACAUGCAAAGGGCGGUGAAGGUGGAAUCUGCCAAGGCCUUGGAGGAGCAAAAGCUGCAGGGUUGGUGACCAAUUUCCAAAGAGAGAAUUUCCUGUAAGACCAGAGCUACUUUAACUUCCUUUUAACCUGUGCCUUCUCAAAUGGCCCCUGACAAGUCUGCAACUGUGCCUGUAAAUAAAACAUGAACCACCUGA